rnacentral:rRNA from 1 species
GACGAACGCUGGCGGCGUGCCUAAUACAUGCAAGUUGAGCGCUGAAGGUUGGUACUUGUACCAACUGGAUGAGCAGCGAACGGGUGAGUAACGCGUGGGGAAUCUGCCUUUGAGCGGGGGACAACAUUUGGAAACGAAUGCUAAUACCGCAUAAAAACUUUAAACACAAGUUUUAAGUUUGAAAGAUGCAAUUGCAUCACUCAAAGAUGAUCCCGCGUUGUAUUAGCUAGUUGGUGAGGUAAAGGCUCACCAAGGCGAUGAUACAUAGCCGACCUGAGAGGGUGAUCGGCCACAAUGGGACUGAGACACGGCCCAAACUCCUACGGGAGGCAGCAGUAGGGAAGCUUCGGCAAUGGACGAAAGUCUGACCGAGCAACGCCGCGUGAGUGAAGAAGGUUUUCGGAUCGUAAAACUCUGUUGGUAGAGAAGAACGUUGGUGAGAGUGGAAAGCUCAUCAAGUGACGGUAACUACCCAGAAAGGGACGGCUAACUACGUG